GACGGGGGGGGCAAGUGUUCUUCGGAAUGACUGGGCGUAAAGGGCACGUAGGCGGUGAAUCGGGUUGAAAGUGAAAGUCGCCAAAAAGUGGCGGAAUGCUCUCGAAACCAAUUCACUUGAGUGAGACAGAGGAGAGUGGAAUUUCGUGUGUAGGGGUUCAAUCCGUAAAUAUACGAAGGAACGCCAAAAGCGAAGGCAGCUCGCUGGGACGUUACUGACGCUGAGACGCGAAAGCGUGGGGAGCAAACAGG
rnacentral:rRNA from 1 species